UCACAGUGCGACAGGUUCUCGGGGCACGACGCUGAAGUCCCUCGUGCAAUGUUCAUCACUUUUCCGACUACCCAGGGGCGAGAAAGUUCGCGCGAGAAGUGCGCGACACCCACGACAUCCGAGCACAAGGCCAAGUUCCUGACCAGGUCGGGAACGGACAUAUGACCAAGCAGGAGUGGACCCCGGGCCGCGGCCUGGGUGCGAAGAAGCCGAAAUCCUGUUGGCGUUUUCAACGGACGCAACUCUUCGACUUGGAAUGCAUCUCCAAUCAUAGUGCUGACACAAUCCGCGCCUGCAUCAUUGUCAACAUGCGUGUUCCUGCCGUGGUGUCACCAGCAAAGCUCGUCUUCGGUGAUCCGGCCACAUCGACGGUUGCAUCAUCCAGCCAGGAACAUUGAAAGAGCUCUCUCACGUCCUCUUCACCUUCCGUGGGAACCGGAGAAGCAAUUUCGGCAUGGCCCGUUUUCCUGGCCUCUGCUACCAUGCAGUUGCAGAGAAGCGUGCUCACCGCAAGUGGCGAUGAUGGCGAGAAAUGCUCCACCACGGACUCUGAACGACAGUCCCUCGACCAGCCAGGAACAAGUUGGUGCGUCGUCCGCCGCACAGCCGCUGACCCACGCCCGAGUGGUUCUGCUCAAACGUCAGACCUGGCAUCUGUAUAACAGUGUCCACGUUUGUGGUCAGGAUGACCUGGCUAUCGGCACCAUUCCCCGCAUUUAUGGACAACGCGUGGUUACGCACGCACGCACACGCACACACGCACGCACAAGAAAAAAGACUGCAAACAGCGCUAGAUAUAAGGCCAGAUGACCACAAUGACGACGUGUAACGCCGGUGACAUGCAUGACGACUGUCAUGUCGAGUGCCGUGAGUCGAACUAAUUUAGUAUUGUCCGGGGCAGGUCCUGGUUAGUCUAAGAAGAGCUGGAGGUGGGGCAGGAGGAGGACAGAUCAUCGAAAUACAGCACCUAUAGGACCGGGGCUUACCUAGCUGUUCAAUUCGUAAAGGCAUAGGAAAGACAUGCAGGAGAAUGCUCAUUGAACGCCGUAGUUGGGAUGGAUAGCUGGUGGAACGGAAAACUAGAUGAAGUUUCAGGAAAGUGCCUCUAAGCAUGACGCGACUGCCCCGCCGCCUUCUGCCUAGGAACGCACUUCUGCUGUCCUUGUCGUUCGCUAUACGUUCGUUCUUCACCUUACGUGACGUAGUCUAACCUAAGGCUAACCCGCUCUAAUUAACCCCUGGCUAUUGUGUUUUCUGGCUGUGGAUUCAGCGUGGAAAUUUAUUCAACAAGUAUGAAGAAUUAGCACAUAAGGGCAGGCCGGGUUUAACUGGGCACGUUUAAGUGUUCCGAGUUGCCCGCUGCGCGCAGUAGCAUAAGCUGCGCAUCGGCGUUACGAAGGCCUGGAGGGGAAAAAGGAAGGGAGGAAUCUAUAGCAAGUUUCCACGCUGCACCAAUCGGCAUCCUUUCCAUGUUACUGACGGUGCAAACUAGUAAACGUGCGGCAUUCUUCGCAACUCUAAUUACUAACUGCAUUCGUAGACGAAAGAUGGCGGGCCAGUAUUGAGCUAUUGUAAAACGCGCAAUUUGGGUGUGGUUACUAUCGACUGGCCAAGCUGGUGUAGCGAAGUCUGCCGAGACGUCCAGCCUGGAGCAACCAGGAGCGAGCGGCGCUGCGCACACCUGGUCUUUCCUCGAGUUUCGCUUGAUUGAAAGCUAUUUGAGUGCCCAUACCAAUAGAAAUUAUUGAGACCCGAGGGCUACAACACUGGUAAUCAGUGUGGCCAGCGUUGCAUUCCUGUACGAGCGUUUGCCGGAAGUACGUACUUUCUCUGAAGCUUAAAAUAAAGUGUUUCGCUUGCUUCAGCCUGUUUAUUAAACUGCUUCGAUAAAUAUACGCAGUAGCAAGAGGAAAAACCGCGCUCAUUCAUGCACCCUUGUUGAUGUUCCGCUACUGACCGCGUAUGGGGAUCUUUUAUUUGACCAAAUAAGGCAGCCCGAAAACAGUGAAAAAGUUUCUAUUGAAAAGGACGUUUGAGGAAAAGGUGAUCUCGCACUCCGUUUGCGAGUUUGACCCGUAGCGCAGCAGUGCUAAAUUCUUGUGAUAUUCGCAAGAGUGUUUGUUAUCCGCAUAGUGUUUUCACCGAGCUCGCAAGGUGGUCGAGGAGCUUUUUAACCCUGUAAUGACUAACGCACUUUCUGUAUUCUGCGCUGUUUGAGAAGGGAAAGUUUGAAUUAUCGCGAGUGAAACACGAGUAGCGACCAUUAAUAGGCUGGAGCCCAUUGCAGUUAUCGAAUAGCUGAAGAUUUCAAUUACUACCUUGAGUGUUAAUUAUCUUCGCGCAUACAUAGUGUGUUUAGCACAAAUGCACCCUCCAUGGCGCGAAAUAAAGGUGGAAAAAUUCUGUGAAUUUUCUGUGAUGUACAACUGUGUUUGGGCAUUACAGGAUUAAAUACU